GGCGGCGUAGCUCAGAGGGUAGAGCAGAGGACUCAUAAGCCUUUGGUCGUAGGUUCAAUUCCUACCGCCGCCA
rnacentral:tRNA from 1 species